GGAUGCGAUCAUACCAGCACAAACACACCAGAUCCCAUCCGUACACCGAAGUUAAGCGUGCUUGGGCGAGAGUAGUAAUAAGAUGGGUGUCCCCCCGAGAAGUCGUCGUGUUGCAUCCC